rnacentral:rRNA from 1 species
UGGAAGCGUAGCGAUACGUGGAGCUGACGAAUACUAAUCGAUCGAAGACUUAAUCAA